rnacentral:rRNA from 1 species
UCAGGCCUAACACAUGCAAGUCGAACGGUAACAGGAGCUAGCUUGCUAGCUUGCUGACAGUUCCGGACGGGUGAGUAACACGUAGGAAUCUGCCAGGCAGCGGGGGAUAGCCCGGGGAAACUCGGAUUAAUACCGCAUACGCUCUACGGAGGAAAGUGGGCCUCUUCUUGAAAGCUCACACUNCCAGAUGAGCGUAAGUCCGAUUAGAUAGUUGGGGGGGUAAAAGCNUUUCAAGGCGACGAUCGGUAGCUGCUUUGCGAGGAUGAUCAGCCACNCCGGUAUUGGGGCACGGUCCGGCCUCCUACGGGAGGCAGCAGUGGGGAAUUCUGGACAAUGGCNGAGCCUGAUCCAGCAACACCGNGNCGUGAAGAAGCCAUGCGGGUUGUAAAGCACUUUUANUAGGAAAGAAACGGCAAGGUNACCCCNGCAANUGA